GACGAACGCUGGCGGCGUGCUUAACACAUGCAAGUCGAACGGUGAAGGGGCCUGCUUUUGUGGGCCCUGGAUGAGUGGCGAACGGGUGAGUAACACGUGAGUAACCUGCCCCCUUCUUCUGGAUAACCGCAUGAAAGUGUGGCUAAUACGGGAUAUUCUGGUUCUGUCGCAUGAUGGGUCUGGGAAAGAUUGCGCCUUUGGGUGUUUUUGGUGGGGGAUGGGCUGGCGGUCUAUGAGCUUGUGGGUGGGGGGGUGGCCUACCAGGGCGGGGGCGGGUAGCCGGCCGGAGGGGGGGGGCGGUCACACUGGGACUGAGACACGGCCCAGACUCCUGCGGGAGGCAGCAGUGGGGGGGAGGGCACAAUGGGCGGAAGCGUGAUGCCGCCGCCGCGGGGGGGAGGGGGGCGCUCGGGUUGUGAACCUCUUUUGACGGUGAAGAAGGGCCUGCUCUUUGUGGGGGGGUUGACGGUAGCCGGGUUAUGAAGCGCCGGCUAACUACGUG
rnacentral:rRNA from 1 species